rnacentral:rRNA from 1 species
GUUUCAUAGGUAAACGGGUGGGCCCUCUAAAUCUUGUGGAGGGAGGAUUCAGUCUGUAGUGGCUAUCGAGCUGGUCUGAAACGAAGGAAGGGCUUCCCGCCACUGGGGCCGUCCGACCGCGAGCUUUAGUCAGGACAGACGCAUUUGUCUCCCUCCCCGAGGACGCCGCAGCCCGCGGGGAAGUGCAAACGUGACGGCCUUGAGGUCGGGAGAUGGCAGGUGGCCGGUGCUUGCUCUCGGGCGAAUGCCGGUUGUUAGCCGUCCCGUCAGUGGCUCGUCUCCCCGCGGAGGUAACGCCUCGUCCUUCGGGACGAGCGCAUCUCCUCCUCCGUGGACGCUGGUAAGAGGUGGCGAGCGAAGGCAACCGCGCGGCCGCACUCCUUCGGAGUGGGCCAGCGUCAGGUCGGCGCCGUCUGCUGCCCGGGACCAGUAGGAGGUUGGAGGUUAGCGGCGAGUAGGUCGGUCACCCACCCGACCCGUCUUGAAACACGGACCAAGGAGUCUAACAUGUGCGCGAGUCAAUGGGUCUUGAACAAGCCCAGAGGCGCAAUGAAAGUAAAGGCCGGCACCUCGCCGGCCAAGUCGGGAUCCCGAGCUUGACGGCCGGGCGCACCGACGACCCGUCUUAUGCGACUUGUCGCUUAGGCGGAGUGUGAGCGUACACGUUGGGACCCGAAAGAUGGUGAACUAUGCCCGGACAGGACGAGGCCAGAGGAAACUCUGGUGGAGGUCCGCAGCGGUCUGACG